UACGGAGGGUGCGAGCGUUGUCCGGAAUCACUGGGCGUAAAGGGCGCGUAGGUGGCUACUCAAGCGCGCGGUGAAAGCCCGGGGCUCAACCCCGGGUCGGCCGUGCGGACUGGGAGGCUCGAGCUCUGUAGGGGCGGGUGGAAUUCCGGGUGUAGCGGUGGAAUGCGUAGAGAUCCGGAAGAACACCGGUGGCGAAGGCGGCCUGCUGGGCAGUGGCUGACACUGAGGCGCGACAGCGUGGGGAGCAAACAGG
rnacentral:rRNA from 1 species